rnacentral:rRNA from 1 species
UUUCAAUAGCUUGCUAAUGAAAUUCUUAGUGGCGGACGGGUUAGUAACACGCGAGAAUCCUACCCUUGAGUGGGGAAUAGCCUUUCGAAAGGAAGAUUAAUGCCCCAUAGUCUCUACGGAGUAAAGAUGCCUUCGGGUGUCGCUUAAGGAUGGGCUCGCGGCCUAUCAGCUAGUUGGUGAGGUAAGAGCUCACCAAGGCAACGACGGGUAGCUGGUCUGAGAGGACGAUCAGCAACACUGGAACUGAGACACGGUCCAGACACCUACGGGUGGCAGCAGUCGAGAAUCAUUCACAAUGGACGAAAGUCUGAUGGUGCAACGCCGCGUGGAGGAUGACGGCCCUAGGGUUGUAAACUCCUGUCAUCAGGGAGUAAGACUUAUUCGUUAAUAGCGUGUAAGUUUGAUAGUACCUGAAGAGGAAGGGACGGCUAACUUCGUGCCAGCAGCCGCGGUAAUACGAAGGUCCCAAGCGUUGUUCGGAAUAACUGGGCGUAAAGCGUGUGUAGGCCGCGCGGAAAGUCGGA